AGAGUUUGAUCCUGGCUCAAGAUGAACGCUGGCGGUAUGCUUAACACAUGCAAGUCGAACGGUGUCUUCGGACACAGUGGCAGGACGGGUGAGUAACGCGUGAGAAUCUGCCUUCAGGACAGGGACAACAGCUGGAAACGGCUGCUAAUACCAGAUAUGCCAGAAAGUGAAACGGGUAAAACCGCCUGAAGAUGAGCUCGCGUCUGAUUAGCUAGUUGGUAGAGUAAAAGCCUACCAAGGCGACGAUCAGUAGCUGGUCUGAGAGGAUGACCAGUCACACUGGGACUGAGACACGGCCCAGACUCCUACGGGAGGCAGCAGUGGGGAAUUUUCCGCAAUGGCGAAAGCCUGACGGAGCAAUACCGCGUGAGGGAAGAAAGCUCUAGGGUUGUAAACCUCUUUUCUCAGGGAAGAACAAAAUGACGGUAUCUGAGGAAUAAGCAUCGGCUAACUCCGUGCCAGCAGCCGCGGUAAUACGGAGGAUGCAAGCGUUAUCCGGAAUGAUUGGGCGUAAAGCGUCCGCAGGUGGCAAUUUAAGUCGAUUGUUAAAGCCCAGGGCUUAACCCUGGAGGUGCAGUGGAAACUGAAAUGCUCGAGUGCGGUAGGGGCAGAGGGAAUUCCCAGUGGAGCGGUGAAAUGCGUAGAGAUUGGGAAGAACACCAGUGGCGAAAGCGCUCUGCUAGGCCGCAACUGACACUAAUGGACGAAAGCUAGGGGAGCGAAUGGGAUUAGAUACCCCAGUAGUCCUAGCCGUAAACGAUGGAUACUAGGCGUUGAGAGGAUCGACCCUCGCAGUGCCGUAGCUAACGCGUUAAGUAUCCCGCCUGGGA
rnacentral:rRNA from 1 species